CAUCGUGGAUUAUGAACACAUGAUAAACAUUCCAAACAUGAAACUCAUGUCACAAGCUCAAACGCGUUCCAGACUCAUCUCUUUCUUCUCUGUUCUCUCUCCGUCGUGCCGGAGGCUGUCCUCGGCAGUGGAGAUUCUCUAAAAUCUAAAUUGAACACAUCAUAUGAAACUAAAUUAUCUCCUAAAACCAAAUCCUAACGUGAAAUCAACUAAUUCUAACAAGCAAGUUUGAAUCAAAGCCUACAGCCAAAGAACCCUAACUCGAAGAAUCCAAAUUAAAUGGUGCUCGUUGGGAAUCAAAGCCCCGGGGGUUAGGGCUUUGAUUCCCCUAACCUCUAAUUACAUCAUGGUAUCAAGAAUUCAAAGAAAAUAGUGAAGAAAAUCGUAAACUCCCCGGUGAAGCGCAUGCAAUGAUCAAUAGAAAUCCAGGAAAUGGACAAAUGCAAGGAUGGUGUGAUCUUGAAGAAACAAGGUAAUUAGGGUUUAGGGAUAUUGAAAUAGUAAGUUGACUUUGGUCAACUAAUGCAAAAAAUGUAAUUUUUCUCAUGAAACACGUGUGGACUAUGUAAAAGUGAUUCUUAUGAAUGAAAUGUACCUUUUAGGUAAAAAUGUUCUAAUGAAACAAUGCAAAAAAUUGAAUUCAAAUGACCAUUUUCCAA